UACAGAGGGUGCAAGCGUUGUUCGGAAUUAUUGGGCGUAAAGGGAGUGUAGGCGGUCUUGUAAGUCUUCUGUGAAAUCUACGGGCUUAGCCUGUAACGUGCAGAGGAAACUGUGAGACUAGAGUGUCGGAGAGGAUAGGGGAAUACCCAGUGUAGAGGUGAAAUUCGUAGAGAUUGGGUGGAACACCAGUGGCGAAGGCGCCUGUCUGGCGGACAACUGACGCUGAGACUCGAAAGCAUGGGGAGCAAACAGG
rnacentral:rRNA from 1 species